ACUUCUUUAGUUUAAAAAGAACAUAGCCCUUUCAAAGCUAAAGAAAAAGAAGAA
rnacentral:tRNA from 1 species